CCUACGGGAGGCUGCAGUCGAGGAUCUUCCGCAAUGGGCGCAAGCCUGACGGAGCGACGCCGCGUGUGGGAUGAAGGCCUUCGGGUUGUAAACCACUGUCACUCGUUAAGAAAGGGUUGGGGGUUAACAGCCUCCAGCACUGACGAAGGCGAGAGAGGAAGCCACGGCUAACUUCGUGCCAGCAGCCGCGGUAAGACGAAGGUGGCGAGCGUUGUUCGGAAUCACUGGGCAUAAAGCGCACGUAGGCGGUGCCGUAAGUCGGGUGUGAAAUCCCUCGGCCUAACCGAGGAACUGCGCCCGAUACUGCGGUGCUUGAGGAUCAGAGGGGUGCAUGGAAUUUCCGGUGGAGCGGUGAAAUGCGUUGAUAUCGGAAGGAACUCCGGCGGCGAAAGCGAUGCACUGGCUGAUUUCUGACGCUGAGGUGCGAAAGCCAGGGGAGCAAACGGGAUUAGAUACCCGUGUAGUC
rnacentral:rRNA from 1 species